CCUACGGGAGGCAGCAGUGAGGAAUAUUGGUCAAUGGACGAGAGUCUGAACCAGCCAAGUAGCGUGAAGGAUGACUGCCCUAUGGGUUGUAAACUUCUUUUAUAUGGGAAUAAAAUGUUCCACGUGUGGGCUUUUGUAUGUACCAUAUGAAUAAGGAUCGGCUAACUCCGUGCCAGCAGCCGCGGUAAUACGGAGGAUCCGAGCGUUAUCCGGAUUUAUUGGGUUUAAAGGGAGCGUAGGUGGAUUGUUAAGUUAGUUGUGAAAGUUUGCGGCUCAACCGUAAAAUUGCCGUUGAAACUGGCAGUCUUGAGUACAGUAGAGGUGGGCGGAAUGCGUGGUGUAGCGGUGAAAUGCUUAGAUAUCACGAAGAACUCCGAUUGCGAAGGCAGCUCACUGGACUGCAACUGACACUGAGGCUCGAAAGUGUGGGUAUCAAACAGGAUUAGAUACCCGGGUAGUC
rnacentral:rRNA from 1 species